GUGCUCACUUUGGCAGCACAUAUACUAAAAUUGGAAUGAUACAAAGAAGAUUAGCAUGGCCCCUAAAAUUCUAUUUUUAUUUGAGAGUAUGCAAUCACACCCAAGUAUU